rnacentral:lncRNA from 12 species
GGACUGGUCUGAACUGGUCUGAACUGGGAUCCCCCAGGGAGCGGGGCCGGGCGGAACGCGAGGCGCGCCUGCGCUCGGCCCCCCCCCCCCGCCGGGGCUUCGCGCUGCGGCAGCGGCUGGUGCAGGAGGCGGCCGAGGGCAAGCGGGAAAAACAGGUGGGAAAAAAGGGGAAUUUGGGGAGUUUUGGGGAGUUUUGGGGAGUUUUGGGGAUUUUGGGGAUUUGGGGAUUUUUGGGGAUUUUUUGGGAAUUUUUGGGUGGGAGUAUUGGGGGAUUUUGGGGUGGUUUGGGGAUGAUUUCAAGGAAAUUGGGGAUGGUUUCAGGUUGAUUUGGGGGGGGCAGACCCAAACCAUUAGAAGUGGCUGAGAUGGGGAAUGGCCUGGAUUGGAGCAGAGUGGUUGGGAGAAAAAGAAGGUGCAAAGAUGGAUGUGAGGAAGCAAAGGGCUAGGUUUGGAGGAUUUUGGGUAAUUCUGAGAUAUUUUGGGGGUAAUUUUGGGAUGAUUUGGGGAUAAUUUCAGGAUAAUUUGGGGAUAGUUUGGAGGAUUUUGGGUAAUUCUGAGAUAUUUUGGGGGUAAUUUUGGGAUGAUUUGGGGAUAAUUUCAGGAUAAUUUGGGGAUAGUUUGGAGGAUUUUGGGUAAUUCUGAGAUAUUUUGGGGAUAAUUUUGGGAUGAUUUGGGGAUAAUUUCAGGAUAAUUUGGGAUAUUUUCAGGAUUAUUUGGGAUGAUUUUGGGGUAAUUUUGGGAUAAUUUGGGAUAUUUUCUGGGAUAUUUUGGGGAUAAUUUUGGGAUAUUUUGGGGAUAAUUUUGGGGUGGUUUGGAGAUGAUUUUGGGAUAAUUUCAGGAUGAUUUCAGGAUUAAUUGGGGAUGAUUAACUUGGGGUAAUUUGGGAUAGUUUUGGGAUAAUUGGCAUAAUUUCAGGAUAAUUUGGGAAUAUUUUGGGGGGAUUUGGGGAUAAUUUUGGGAUAAUUUCAGGAUAAUUUUAGGAUAAUUUUGGGAUAAUUUUGGGAUAAUUCCAGGAUAAUUUGGGGAUAAUUUGGGGAUAAUUUUGGGAUAAUUUUGAGGUUGUUCUGGGAUAAUUUGGGGAUAAUUUUGGGGUAAUUUCAGGAUAAUUUGGGGAUAAUUGGGAGAUGAUUUUGGGGUAAUUUCAGGAUGAUUUCAGGAAAAUUUGGGACAAUUUGAGAUAAUUUGGGGGUAAUUUUGGGAUAAUUUGGGAUGUUUUCAGGAUAAUUUUGGGAUAAUUUUGGGGGUAAUUUUAGGAUAAUUUCAGAAAAAUUUGGGAUAUUUUGGGGAUGAUUUUGGGGUAAUUUUGGGAUAAUUUGGGGAUAAUUUCAUGAUAAUCUCAGGAUAAUUUUGGGAUAAUUUAAUGAUAAUUCCAGGAUAAUUUAAUGAUAAUUUGGGGAUGAUUUAGUGAUAAUUCCAGGAUAAUUUCAGGGUAAUUUAAUGAUAAUUCCAGGAUAAUUUAUUGAUAAAUUCAGGGUAAUUUAAUGAUAAUUCCAGAAUAAUUUCGGGGUAAUUUAAUGAUAAUUCAGGAUAAUUCCAGGAUAAUUUCAGGAUAUUUUGGGGAUAUUUUGGGAUAAUUUGGGGAUAUUUUUGGGGUGACUCUGGUGUGCUCUGGGCUCCCCAGGCCCGGCUGGGGGGGGCAGUUCUGGGAUAAUUUGGGGAUAAUUUGGGGAUAAUUUGGGGAUAGUUUAAUGAUAAUUUCAGGAUAAUUUCAGGAUAUUUUGGGGAUGAUUUGGGGAUAAUUCCAGGAUACUUUGGGGAUGAUUUGGGGAUAAUUUG